GUCCUCUUGGUGGAAUUAGGUAGACACGUCAGUCUUAGAAACUGAUAUGAAGUAAUAGUAAUGUAUGAGUUCGAGUCUCAUAGAGGACA
rnacentral:tRNA from 1 species